UUGUUUGACAGUUGCACUGUCGGCUGAAUGUUUGUUCGAGUGCUUCUUGGAAGACUGAGCGCGAUCGCCUACUAUGCCGCUGCAGUCCAGUGGAGCAAGCUUCCGGCACCGGUCGUGUCACUUUCCAAGCAACACAUCUUAACUGGUGUUUGAUUCUGUAAAGAGAAAGUAAAAAUUGGUAUCAUCAAUAAAUCAGUCUACCAGAUGUACCAGGUGGGCAUAAAUGAACGAUAGACAGGCGACAAUACGACAGCGCAGCGGGGAGAAAGUAGGACGACUGCUCCUUUCCCUUCCGACGCUCGGACCGGAACGCUUCAGCCGGAAAGCCGCACUGCUCACUGAUUGCAUAUCGGGUUCACCGUCAAGAGGUAUGUCAACGUUUACAUUGCACCCUUUCGGGUGUCUGCCCGCUUGUCUGGUGUGCAUCGAACCCCAACCGCUGUCGGACGAAUGAAUUCGUCUUGUAGGGUGACCUGAUGUCACAAGGUUUGUUUGCUAAUUGGGUUUGGUUUACGUCAAAAUAAUAAAUAUGUUAAUAUUUACCGCUUUAUAGAAUAA